CGGUGAUAAACCGGAGGAAGGUGGGGAUGACGUCAAAUUCCAUCAUGCCCCUUAUGGCCUGGGCUACAAACGUAAUUACAAUGGCGUAUACAAAGGGAUGCGAAAGGGUGACCUGGAGCAAAACUCCAACAAAGUACGUCUCAGUUCAGAUUGGAGUCUGCAACUCGACUCCAUGAAGGCGGAAUCGCUAGUAAUCGCGGAUCAGCAUGCCGCGGUGAAUACGUUCUCGGGGUUUGUACACACCGCCCGUCAAACCAUGAGAGUUGGUAAUACCCGAAGCCGGUGGCCUAACCUAGUAAUAGGAGGGAGCCGUCGAAGGUAGGAUCGAUGAUUAGGGUUAAGUCGUAACAAGGUAGCCGUAA
rnacentral:rRNA from 1 species